rnacentral:rRNA from 2 species
AGCAUCCGUAGCCGGUUGCAUAAGUUUUCGGUUAAAUCCAUGCGCUUAACGUAUGGGCUGCCGGGAAUACUGCAUAACUAGGAAGUGGGAGAGGUAGACGGUACUCGGUAGGAAGGGGUAAAAUCCUUUGAUCUAUUGAUGACCACCUGUGGCGAAGGCGGUCUACCAGAACACGUUCGACGGUGAGGGAUGAAAGCUGGGGGAGCAAACCGGAUUAGAUACCCGGGUAGUCCCAGCUGUAAACUAUGCAAACUCAGUGAUGCAUUGGCUUGUGGCCAAUGCAGUGCUGCAGGGAAGCCGUUAAGUUUGCCGCCUGGGAAGUACGUACGCAAGUAUGAAACUUAAAGGAAUUGGCGGGGGAGCACAAGCC